CCUACGGGCGGCUGCAGUGGGGAAUAUUGGACAAUGGGGGCAACCCUGAUCCAGCCAUGCCGCGUGUGUGAAGAAGGCCCUCGGGUUGUAAAGCACUUUCAGUGAGGAAGAACGCCUGGUGGUUAAUACCCAUCAGGAAAGACAUCACUCACAGAAGAAGCACCGGCUAACUCCGUGCCAGCAGCCGCGGUAAUACGGAGGGUGCGAGCGUUAAUCGGAAUUACUGGGCGUAAAGCGCGCGUAGGUGGCUUGAUAAGCCGGUUGUGAAAGCCCCGGGCUCAACCUGGGAACGGCAUCCGGAACUGUCAAGCUAGAGUGCAGGAGAGGAAGGUAGAAUUCCCGGUAUAGCGGUGAAAUGCGUAGAGAUCGGGAGGAAUACCAGUGGCGAAGGCGGCCUUCUGGACUGACACUGACACUGAGGUGCGAAAGCGUGGGUAGCAAACAGGAUUAGAUACCCCGGUAGUC
rnacentral:rRNA from 1 species